rfam:Oryza sativa Japonica Group DNA, chromosome 12, cultivar: Nipponbare, complete sequence.
GCAAAGUACAGUUUUGCACUGUUUAUAUUUAACGUUUAACCAUUCAUCUUAUUUGAAAAUUUUUUAUAAUUAGUAUUCUUAUUUUUUAUUAGAUGAUAAAACAUUAAUAAUACUUUAUGUGUGACUAUUUUUUUUAUUUUUUAUAAAUGUUUUAAAUAAGACGGACGGACAAACGUUGGACACGGAUCCCCACAACUGUACUUAUU